UACGGAGGGUGCGAGCGUUGUCCGGAAUCACUGGGCGUAAAGGGCGCGUAGGCGGCCCGGCAAGUCAACGGUGAAAGCUUGGGGCUCAACCCCGAGUCGGCCGUCGAUACUUCCGGGCUGGAGCACUGUAGAGGCAGGUGGAAUUCCGGGUGUAGCGGUGGAAUGCGUAGAGAUCCGGAAGAACACCGGUGGCGAAGGCGGGUCUCUGGGCCGAUAUUGACGCUGAGGAGCGAAAGCGUGGGGAGCGAACAGG
rnacentral:rRNA from 1 species